GAGUGAGUGGAAUUUAACGUAUUUUUUGGAAGUGACAGUUAUUUGUACUGGAAAGGCUCUUCUAAUGGUACUACAGUAUACUUAGUGAAUCUGGAUUAGUUGGUGAUCCAUUUAAGAGCAAGUCUCUAAUGUUUUUCAGUGUUUACUUCCCACUUUAUUUGUUAGAGAAAACCAAGAGAAAUUUGAAAUGGAUCAGUUUUUUGAGUUUGCGUACUCGGUUGUAAGACGUGCGGAGCGUUAUCUAACAGUCCAGAAUGGGGAUCAAGAUCAAGAUGGGGUUGACGGAGCGCUGACGCAGAUGGAUUAUUUGCUUGGAUAUACUAGAGAUAUCUGCGAAAAUGUUCCGGAGGAGCGGACGGUGCAAGCGCAAGAGCUUUUUGAUGUUUUAAUUAACUACUCCAGUCGCUUACGGGAUCUACUGCAAGAAGACGAAAACGGGACUGCGUCCGUUUUUCCCAUCACGCAGCACACCAAAGUAGAUGGAAAAAUAUUCCUUCUGGAGGAUGAUUUAGCUGAACUGCGGUUCGAGGGAUUUACUGUGAAUGAUAUUGCUAAGCUUUAUGGAGUUUCUAAGAGGACAGUCACGUACAGAUUGGCAGAUGCUGGCUUGAAUAGGAAAUAUUCGGAAUUGAGUGAUGUGGAUUUGGAUCGCGUAAUUGUGGAUAUUUUAAAUUCGUUCCCGAACGUAGGAUAUCGUUACAUUAACGGCCAGUUAAAAUCAGGAGGUUUAACAGUCCAACGCACGAGAAUUCUGGCUUCUAUGAGAAGACUGGAUCCGUAUGGCAUAGCUAAUCGGUUUUUCCAUUUUGUCCCUCGCCGCAUUUAUUCAAAUGCUGGCCCAAACGCGCUGUGGCACAUUGAUGGCAAUCACAAGUUGGUUCGCUGGGGAUUCGUAAUACACGGGAUUAUUGACGGUUACUCUCGAAUGGUUAUUUCUCUCGUCGUUGCAACGAACAAUCGCGCAAGUACAGUGCUGCAGGCCUUCCUCGUUGGCGCUGAAGCUUGGGGAGUGCCGUCCAGAGUGAGAAGCGAUUGCGGCGGUGAAAAUUUCGGAGUUGCACGCUGGAUGGAGCAUUAUAUGGGUCCGAACCGCGCCAGUAUCAUUAUGGGACCGUCAGUUCACAAUCAGCGGAUAGAACGGCUGUGGAGAGACUUGGGUCGCGUUGUGAUUAAAUUAUUUCGAUCUAUUUUCAUUCACAUGGAAAAUAUGCAAAUUUUGGAUAUGACGAGUGCCCGCGACAUGAUGGUUUUGCACUUAGUAUUCACGGAAAGAAUACAGAAUAAGCUCAAUAGCUUCAUUUCUUUUUUUAAUAACCACAAAUUGCGCACGGAGGGCGAAAAGUCACCAAGGCAGUUGUUUGUUCUCGGCUGCAAUCAGAAGGGACUGAAAGGUUUUGCUCUGGAAGAAAUCUUAUCGGUCGACAAUGCACUGCCUAACGCCGACGUGGAUGUCGCAGAAAAUUUCCCUCAGUACUUAAGAAAUCAAGUUGGCCAUUCAAGGAUUCUGUCCCGGUGUGCGAUAAAAUCAGCAGUUUCCCUGUUGAAGCUCAGGUAAUUCGGGCUAGUAUGGAUCUGAUGCGGGAUGAUGGAUUUCAUGGAAUUCAGGUUUUUUGCGAAGCGAAAGAAAUGUUACAACAUUAUUUUGGUUAAUGGUAGACUGACAAAUCAGUGUGUCCGAAUUUUAGAAAAAAACCUUAGUACUGCUUUCCGUUGAUAAUAUUACUACCGGCAGUGUUAGAAGCUAGCUAAUCUUUCAGAAAGCGAAAGUGAGUUUAUUGCUUUAGUAAGUUAGCGUUGUAAUUGACUGCUUCUGCUGAAUUUAACGUUUUGUAAUUGUUGGAUGCAUUGUUUUCAUGGUGAAAACGCAACACGGCUUGGUGAGAAUUAAAUUUGCGGCAAGCAUGUUAACUGAGAAGAAACCGCUGCGGUGACAGAAGAAUUUUUAAUACAGUACGCCGCCUCGUGAAAAUACGUGUACGUUCCGCCGGUUAUUAACGACACUUACACCUGCGUUAAGGAAGUUUGGCAUCCUUGCAAGCACGCGGGAUCGGUUGACUUGGAUAACGCUUCAACAGUCAUCUUCCCAUGGAUAUGAAGACCGGCAGAAAUUACAUCGUUACUUAUUGUGGCGUGCAAAAGCACUCGUGCUGUUGGACAGUCGUCCAAAAACGUAAUUUUCCGAAUGGCACCGGAAGAAGUUCCUAAAGACGUGCUGAAUGCUUAUAGAUCCCAGAGGGGCGGAACAUUGGACCUUGGUUUUCCAAAAGCGGGACCAAAAAUGUGCGGAAGAGUUUGCUCGCGCCUUCCGUGACGUCAGUCAAAGUUCUGGCAUGCGGUUCGGAAAUCCGCAGAUUAUCAUGCUAACUGCCGAUCAAAACAUCACAUAUGCCCAUAGCAUUGCUAAAGCCGCGGUCGAAGACAAAGUCAUUGUGAGUUGUACACUGGGAAGAGCAGAUCGUUUGCGCGCAAUUGUGCAGAAAAUCGCUUUGCAAAUCAAUUGCAAGCUGGGUGGAUCCAUUUGGCGCAUGGCUAAAAUGCUGACAAGAAGAAGAUCAGAUGAGCCUUAUGGUGAUUGGAGUGGACGCCUAUCACGACAUCAAACGAAGAAAUUAUUCGAUCGCAGCUUUGGUGACUAGCACGGACGACGAUUUUACACACUGGCAUAGUCGUUGUAAUUUUCAGCCACCAAAAACGGAAUUGGCAUCAGGGAUAAAGUUUUCAUUCGCUUGUGCAAUGAUUUCGUAUCGCAAGGGUAUGAGCGUUUUAGUAGAACAUAACAGAUUUGACUUCCUCAGACGUUUUGCAGGAAGACCCGGUCAAUGCCGUUGAUUUAUCAAGACCAGUCCAUUUCGGAAUCUCACAUCCAUACUCGGAAACACUGCAGUAUUUUUGAUGAAAGUACAGUAUUGCUGACGGAAGGUCUUGCAUUUUUCUCGCUUGCAGUGUAUUAAAUUCGUGUAUUUUGCAGUGUGUUUUCGUGUUAAUAUUAAUUUAUGCUUAAAAAAAUACCUGUUAAGUAUCUCAUGGUCAGCGAUGGUCAGAAAGUCAGCGCUUACAAUACUGUACUGCAGAUUACGUUAUCCUUUAUGUUACCACUGCCGUAAAGUCCAAAUAAUAUUUACAUGGCUGUAUG